GAGGAGGAGGAGUCAAUGCAAACUCUGACCUCUUCCAUCUCUACAUAUGUGUUGCAGAGUGAAGGACAGACACUAAAUCACUGACAUACACACUGUAGACUGGACAGAGACAACUGGCUUUCACAAUGAUCAGACCUGAUUAUCUGGUGGUUUUUCUCAUCCUGUCAUUUAACUCUGCAGGUACUGAGGGUCAAACACUGACUGAGUCUGAACCAGAGGUUAAAAAGCCUGGAGAGUCCCACAGACUGACCUGCACAUAUUCAGGGUUUAGUGGUCAUAUUGAUACUGCUUGGAUCAGACAGGCUGCUGGAAAAGGAAUGGAGUGGAUCGCUUAUAUCAGCAGUGGCAGUAGCUACAUCUACUACUCUGAGUCAGUGAAAGGCCGGUUCACCAUCUCCAGAGACAACAACAGACAGCAGGUGUAUCUGCAGAUGAACAGUCUGAAGGCCGAGGACACAGCAGUGUAUUACUGUGCCAGAAGAGACACAUUGUAA